CUACAACCCUCAGAUGCCGCCCCCCAAACCCCCCGCCCCUCUUCUCACAUAACACACAACACACCACACACAUACCACACACAUAUACAGAAAUGACGAAGAGAGGAAGAGAGGGAGCCGCCGUCACGUCGUCACCGUUCAGCCCACGCCGCCGCCGUGUUGCCACCGAGCCGCCGGUCACGAAGGGAAGAGAGACAGAGGCGCGCAGAGUUCAUGAGGGGAGAGAGAGAGAGGCCGAACGCGAGGAGGGAGGGAACCCUCGCCGUCGCUGUUCGUGGAGUCCGCGCCAGUACCGUCGUCGCCGUCGCCGUCGCAGAGGAGAAUCCCUGUAUCCGUGAGCUGCCGCCAUUGAAGCUUUUACUUCUGCUUUGCUGCUUCUGCUGUCACGCCGUUGUCCCUCUGGACGUCGCUGCUUCUGAAUCUUGCCCUAUCACUGGUUCUCUGCCUCCUCAUUGUGGCUCAACCUCUGUUUAGGUGUAAUUCUUGACUUUUUUUUUUUUAUUUUCUUACUGCAAACUUGUUUUCAAAGCAGACAACCUUGGUUGGGAAAUAUUGUCAAUUGCAGUGCCUUCUGCUAUGGCUUUGACAGCUGAUCCUAUUGCUUCACUGGCUGACACAACAUUCAUUGGCCGAAUAGGUUCAUUGAGUGGUUGGGUUGUUGCUGUAGUAGGAGCUGUCGUGAAAGCAUUGAGGAUGCAAAGAAGCUCAAAUCUCUUUUGUUUAUGAUUAGAUAAUGUUAUGACUUAGACUUUUAUUAUGUGAUUUAAAGUAUCUUAGUUUAUUUGAAUUCUAAAAUCUUUUUUUAUAGGUCACAAAUAUGUAUGAAUCUUAUAGAAUACGUUAUAAAUCAAAUGUUCAAUUAGUUUUCUUUA